rnacentral:rRNA from 1 species
UACGUAGGGUGCAAGCGUUAAUCGGAAUUACUGGGCGUAAAGCGUGCGCAGGCGGCUUUGCAAGACAGAUGUGAAAUCCCCGGGCUUAACCUGGGAACUGCAUUUGUGACUGCAUGGCUGGAGCGCGGCAGAGGGGGAUGGAAUUCCGCGUGUAGCAGUGAAAUGCGUAGAUAUGCGGAGGAACACCGAUGGCGAAGGCAAUCCCCUGGGCCUGCACUGACGCUCAUGCACGAAAGCGUGGGGAGCGAACAGG